GGCUAGGUGGCUCAGUGGAUAGAGAACCAGGUUUAGAAACAGGAAAGUCCGAGUUCAAAUCUAGCCUUAGACA
rnacentral:tRNA from 1 species